rnacentral:misc_RNA from 1 species
GAAAUGCGAUACGUAAUGUGAAUUGCAGAAUUCAGUGAAUCAUCGAAUCUUUGAACGCAUAUUGCGCUCUUUGGUAUUCCGAAGAGCAUGCUUGUUUGAGUAUCAGUAAACACCUCAAAGCUUUUGAUUUUUUUUUUUUGAAAGCUUUGGACUUGAGCAAUCCCAACACCAAUCUUUUUCAGAUCGGCGGCGGGUUGCUUGAAAUGCAGGUGCAGCUGGACAUUCUCCUGAGCUAAAAGCAUAUUUAUUUAGUCCCGUCAAACGGAUUAUUUUUUUUGCUGCAGCUAACAUAAAGGGAGUUUGACCGUAUUAGCUGACUGAUGCAGGAUUUCACAAGGGUCGGCAACGAUUCUUGUAAAACUCGAUCUCAAAUCAAGUAAGAUUACCCGCUGAACUUAA